GCUGUGAAUUAGACACAACAGAUUUCUCGUUAGUUAUGUGUUUAAGCUGAAGAGUUGGGAAAUAGAAGUGGUGGGUACACAACCCUGGGAAUGGGCUCAAUGUCCCUGUAUAGCUUAUGGUUACACUUUACCGCCAUGGAAACAAAGUUAACCAUGGAUCUAUUAAUCUAUUUAUCAUUCACUGCACAUCUGUUUGGCCACCGUCUAUCCUACGUUAGACUUGAAAGGACACCCAGACUGUAUAAACAUAUCCACAGUUGAUGGGAUCUAAACUGUUAAGCUGGGGAAAAGGCUUUGUGCACACAGUACCCCAAGUGGGAUUCCAUGAUACCAGAGAACCACUGGACUAAAAGCCACGACCUAGUUAAUCCCCUACUUGUCACAAGAAAGCGCUGCACUCCAUUUGUCCAUGACACCAAAUUCAUCCCAGACACGUCGUGGACGGCAACCAUCCUCCCUACACUUCAUAAGAGAAGUUUAGUCAUGGCCAAGUCUGGAUAUGAAUUCUCCUACAAAGGUUUGCUCGACGCUCCCCACCACAACCCAAUCAGCUAAUGGACAUUUCCGCCACCAACUGAUGGAAAUUCCGUUGGAAGAAAAAUGAAGGCUUCGGUUACCCUUAGUCUUUAGAACCCAAGGCUGUUAUACAAAUAAAAAUAGGACACCCAGUCGGUUCUUUUUAACCCUCCAGACACAGGGGUGUCCAGUUCAGAGGCUGAGAUGAACAGCUGGAUCUUGAGAUAGCGGCCGAUUCCCCCUCUCCCCCCCAUCUAGACAGAAGCCGCCAUGGACAGCCACACUCUCAGAACACUGCCACCUAAUCAGGUCAUGUCAAAGAUGCUCCUCGAUGAGAAGACCCAAGUUUCUCGCACCCUUAUUUUGGUUUGGAUUUCUGAUGACUCACUUCAUUUGUGUAGUACUUUGUUGUGGCUUAAGGUUGACAUACAAUUAUGGAGACAUCAAAAAUAGCAGGAAAAAGAAACUCCCAUAAUGCAUCCCUCUAGCAGAAACUUCCUGAGGGCACACUGCAUGCUACAUUGAUAUUUUGGUCACCUAUUACUAGGUGACAAACCACCUAAUAAUACAUUGGCUUAAAUAACUAUUGUGUGUGUGUUUGUGGUUCUGUGAGUCAAGAAUUUGGAAGUGGCCCAACCGGAUCCAUUUGACAUCUGAUGGACUGAAAGAUUAAGUCCUUAAAAGGCAUCUUUGGUCCCAGGCCUAGAAUCCUUUCUCUCUCUCUCUCUCCCUCUCUCUCCCUCUCUCUCUCUCUCUCUCUCUCUCUUCCUCUCUCUCUCUCUCUCUUCCUCUCUCUCUCUCUCUCUCUCUCUCUUCCUGUCUCUCUCUCUCUUCCUCUCUCUCUCUCUCUUCCUCUCUCUCUCUCUCUCUCUUCCUCUCUCUCUCUCUCUCUCUCUUCCUGUCUCUCUCUCUCUCUCUUCCUCUCUCUCUCUCUCUUCCUCUCUCUCUCUCUCUCUUCCUGUCUCUCUCUCUCUCUCUUCCUCUCUCUCUCUCUCUUCCUCUCUCUCUCUCUCUCUCUCCUGUCUCUCUCUCUCUCUUCCUCUCUCUCUCUCUCUUCCUCUCUCUCUCUCUCUCUCUUCCUCUCUCUCUCUCUCUUCCUCUCUCUCUCUCUCUCUCUUCCUCUCUCUCUCUCUCUCUCUCUUCCUCUCUCUCUCUCUCUCUCUCUCUCUCUCUCUCUCUCUCUCUCUCUCUCU